ACCAGCAUCACCAGGUUUGCCUUUAGCACCAGGUGGGCCAUCAGUACCAGGGGGCCAGUGAAACCAGCAGGGCCUGGGAGAUCUUUCACAACAAGCUCACCAGGGAAACCUCUCUCAUCUCUUGUUCCAGAGGGGCUGGGAGCACCAAGGUCUCCAGGGACACCCUGUUCACUGGGUUUGCCUGCAGUGGGGCUAGCAACUCCAGGGUGUCCCUGAACUUCAGCUUCUCCAUCUUUGUCAGCAGGACCAACAGUGCCAGGGGGUCUGGGAACACCUUGCUCUCCAACUUUGCCAGGCUCUCCAGCAGCACCAGGUCCACCACGCUCGUCAGGGAGUCCAGGCAGGCCAGCAGGUCUGAGUUCACCUCGGGCUCCUCCCUUUCCUUCUUCUCCAGCAGGGCCAGGAGGACCUUGAAUACCAGUGAGGCCAGGCUCUCCCUUGGCACCAGUGUCUCCUUUGAAUUCAACAAGAGACAAAAUGAUAGGCAAGAAGUAGAUUUAUUAAGAUAGAACACUUGUGAGAGAUACAAGUGGGCAAGCAAAGUCUCUGCCUUUUUUGUUUUUCUUAAAAAAAAUUUUAUUGAAGUAUAGAUGAUUUACAAUCAACCGGUUUCUACUGUUCAGCAAAGUGACACAGUCUGUGUGCGUGUGUGUGUGUACACAUUUAAAAAACACAAUUUUCCAUCAUAGUCUAUCCCAGGAGAUUGGAUAUACUUUCAUCAUUGCAGUUUUAAAUGCAUUUCUCUGAUUACUCUUCAGGUUAAACAUCACUUCAUAUUUAUUGACCAUUUACAUGUCUUUUCUGUGAAUUGCCUGUUUAAAUCUGUUGCCCUUUUUAAAAUAGGGUUGUCUUUGUUUCUUUUAUUUUUAUCUAAAAUUUUUUUGACAAAUAUAAAUUGCAUAUAUUUAAGGUGUGCAGUGUGGUAUUUUGAUACAUGCAUGCAUUAUCACUGUUUUUAAUUAUCGCUGUUUCUUAAAAGUGCAUUCCAUCUUCUGAGUACUAUAAUUUUCAACCAGCUAUUAACAUUUAGCAAUUCAUUAACUACUUUAAACCUUUUUUGCGCCUUUAUCCCACAUACAGACACUAAAUACUUGUUUAAUAAAUAGCAUAAAUAAAAUUUAUUUAAAGACUUAGGUAGCAUUUCAGUUUGAUGAUAAUAUAUUAUGUUUAAAUGUACUUAUUCUUUUGUAUGUGUAACAUUUCUCUCUUUUUUUAAUGUUUAUGUAUCCCCCCUUUGACCAUGUAAUUUAUCUUCUGGGAUUUAUCCUAUAGGAAUAUUUGCUUAUGUCUAAAAUAAUGAAUGUGCAGGAAUAUUUGUUGCAGCAUGUUAGAUGAUAGAAAAAGGCUAUAAAUAACCUAAGUGUUCAUCAGUAGGGUACUAGUUAGAUAAAUUAUGGUGCUUCCAUAUUAUGGAGCACUGUUUAUCCUUAAAAGAAUAAUGCAGCCGUAUAUAUGUGUCAGGUGGAAUGAGGAAGGGAAUGGAUUGUAAGGCGUAUGAGGGAAGUGACUGAUUUUAUUUUGGGGCACGAGUUUUUAAAACAUGUUCCAUGUCACAGGUUCAACCAUAAUAUGUGCUGGCCAGAUUCAACUCAAGUACCACCACUCUACUCUGUAUGCUCUUUGAUAACAAUCAGAACCACAACAGAAUUUUGUUGUUUAUUUACACAUAAUUCUAAAGUUCACGUAUAGAAAAAAAAAAAAAAGUCAUACUAAUAAGUAAGACAUUCUUUAAAAAGAUCAGAGGAGUUCUUCUCUUGGCUCAGUAGGUUCAAAACCUGUCAUAGUGUCCAUGAGGAUGUGGGUUCGAUCCCUGGUCUCGCUGAGUGGGUUGAGGAUCUGGCUUUGCCGCAAGCUGCAGCCUGUGUUGCAGAUGUGACUUGGGUCUGUUGUUGCCAUGGCUGUGGUGUAGGUCUGCAGCUGAAGCUCUGAUUCAACCUCUAGCCUGGGAACUUCGAUAUGCCACAGGUGCAGUCAUAAAAAGAAAGUUAAAAAAAAAAAUCAGAGGAAAGAGUUUGAACUAAUUUGCCCUGCUAUGUAUUAAAAUAUACUAUAUGGUUACAGUAAUUAAAUAAGAUCAUAUUUUCAAUUUCAUAGGUGCAUUAUUUUUACAGAACAGAGUCAUUAGUAGUUGCUUGUAUGUUGGGAAAUUUGGCUUAAAUAGAGGAAUUAUUUCAAAAUCGCACAGAAAUAAUGUUUUUCCAUUGGUUGUCUAUUUGAAAAUGAAAAAAUUGUCUCAACAUCACACCAGAAAUAAACAUCAAUUUCCAUAUGGAAUAUAUAUAUAUAUAUAUGUUUUUAAGAUGGAUUAAACAGUCUUACAUUACUGUUUAGAAAAAAAAAUUUUUGACUGCUCCCACAGCAUGUGGAAAUCCCCAAGCUAAGGAUCAAACCCACACCACAGCAGUGACAACACCGGAUCCUUAGCCAUUACGCCACCAGGCAACUCCAAGAAAAUGUUGAAUAUUUUUAUUAUUUUGAAGUAGGGAGACUUCUCCUAAGUCAUAUGUAUAACCUGAAAGAUAAAGUUACAGGGAUUUAACUCUAUAGAAUUUUUAAUCAUAUAUCUGAUAGACACUGUAAACAAAAUUUAUACUUUAUAUUUGCAAUGUAGAAAGCAAAAGAUUGGUAUCUAUAAUCGUCAAAAGAAUAAUUACAAGUUACUGUGAAACUCAAUAGAAAAAUUUGUAAAAUUAUCACGAUAUAAUUUUCAGAAGAUGAAAUAUAAAUGGCUAACAAGCAUGCAAAAAGAUUUGCAGCCUCUUAGAAAAUUAAAUAAGAACAAUCAACUACAAGUUAACAGGGUUUUUUUGGCCCAUUAGAUCAGCAAAGUUUUAAAAUAUUGAGGGAUGCUAGUUAAAAAUAGAAUAAAUCUUUUCUCUCCACUUCUGUCCCAUUGUAACCUAACAAUAAAGAUAAGAAAUUUUUAAAACUUCUGUCUUCAGUGAAGACACAACCUUAAAACACAGACUAAAUCAAAUAAGAAUUCUGAAUUGAAACAAAGGAAAAUGAUGGACAUCAACACACACCUUCUCCAUCCUGGAUAAGAUAACAAGUUACGUUUAAAAGUAUCUUAGUUAUGGGAGUUCCCAUCGUGGCUCAGUGGUUAACGAAUCCGACUAGGAACCAUGAGGUUGUGGGUUCGAUCCCUGGCCUUGCUCAAUGGUUUAAGGAUCUGGCAUUGCCGUGAGCUGUGGUGUAGGUGGUCGCAGAUGCGGUUCGGAUCCCACGUUGCUGUGGCUCUGACGUAGGCUGGAGGCUAUAGCUCCGAUUCGACCCCUAGCCUGGGAAC
rnacentral:lncRNA from 1 species